GAAGUAUUUCCCUGGCCACCAAUGUAAACAGAAAACAUUAAUGGCUUUGCAAAUGUCUAAGAAUGAAGGGGAAGUUUUUCAAUUGCAAGGAAUAGAUGAGGAAGACGAAGAAUGGCAUGAUGUUAUGGAGGGAGACGUACCUGAGAAUCCUGAAGCAAUAACUCUUUCCAUCAAUGCUAUAGAAGGUAUUCAAGCAGUUGAAACUAUAAGGGCUCUUGGUAAGCAUAAGAAUAGGGAGUUGUUGAUACUGGUAGAUAGUGGCGGUACCCAUGGUUUCUUGGAUGCAAAAGUUGCCAAAGAGCUUAAGAUUCCUCUUGUGGAGAUAGCUGCAAUUUCUGUAACACUAGUGAUGGAAGGAAAAUUGCAAGUUCUUAUCUGUGCCCUACAUUUAGUUGGAAAAUUCAGCAAUAUGGCUUCAGUUUUGAUUUCAGAUUGCUGGAAAGGGCAGCUUUGAUGUAACACUUGGGGUUGAUGGGAUGAAAUUAUUCAAUCCUAUUCUGUUUUAUUUCAAGAAUUCUCAUAUUAGUUUUCAGAAGGAAGGAAGUGGUUUUACAAGGAAUCAGUGUUGUAUAAGUCGAGCAAAGGCGCCAGGCGAGUCAAGAGGCGAAGCGAGGCGAGGCUUCUGCAACUUCCCAAGCCAAGGCGAGGCAACUGCAAAAAGGCAGCUGCCCUGGACCUGUGAGGCGACAGUCAACAAGGCCACAAGGCGGCACGGGAAGUUUUGUUUUUUUU
rnacentral:misc_RNA from 1 species